rnacentral:rRNA from 1 species
GGCUCAGGAUGAACGCUAGCGGCAGGCUUAACACAUGCAAGUCGAGGGUAUAGUUCUUCGGAAUUAGAGACCGGCGCACGGGUGCGUAACGCGUAUGCAAUCUACCUUUCACAGAGGGAUAGCCCAGAGAAAUUUGGAUUAAUACCUCAUAGUAUAGCAGUUUCGCAUGAAACCACUAUUAAAGUCACAACGGUGAAAGAUGAGCAUGCGUCCCAUUAGCUAGUUGGUAAGGUAACGGCUUACCAAGGCAACGAUGGGUAGGGGUCCUGAGAGGGAGAUCCCCCACACUGGUACUGAGACACGGACCAGACUCCUACGGGAGGCAGCAGUGAGGAAUAUUGGACAAUGGGCGCAAGCCUGAUCCAGCCAUGCCGCGUGCAGGAUGACGGUCCUAUGGAUUGUAAACUGCUUUUAUACAGGAAGAAACACUACUUCAUGAAGUAGCUUGACGGUACUGUAAGAAUAAGGAUCGGCUAACUCCGUG